GGGUGAAAAUGCGAACUGUGCUUGUAGUUUGAAAGCAAUGAUCAUGUGCAGGAAGUGUGGUGCGUUUUGCCACCAUGACUGUAUCGGACCUUCCAAAUUGUGUGUAACAUGUUUAAUUACCACUUGAUUUUGUGACUAGGAGUGCUGACACAGUCAUGUUGUUACUAGCAAUCAUGCUGAAAUAUUAACCCUGUUUUGUGUCAUGAUUUCAAUUUUUUUUUUAAAAAUAUUUUGGGGAAAAACAGUCUACUAAGAUACUAAUGUAGUUGAAUGGAAUGAAAGGAGUUGGACAUAAAAUAUAAAGAACAUACUGCUAAAGCUUGAUAUUUUCAUUAUCUUAAUCUAUCAAAGUUAUUUUAUUAAAGUGUGUGGAAGUACUUUGAAUACCAAUAUUAAUCCUGUUAAUGUUUGUAUGACAAGUCGAAUCUAGGUAAAUGUGUUUGACAAGAGAGAGCAAGGUGUAGAAUUCCAUCGUAUUGUGAAUCUCAUGUCUAGAUGGUCGUGAGAGUUGUAAGAUCAGCUGAUGCACAAUGUUCAUGUAUUGUUUUGGAGUAAAUCACAACCAUUGAACAUUCAAAACUUUCUUGAAUUUCAUAUCAAAGCUGAAAAGUACCAGUUGUUUGCUAUAAGCAUCAGAUUUUGCACUUAAUAUUCAAAACUAAAUUAAAUCUUUUGUGAAUAAUGCACUUUCUAUGAAAUUUCACCAAACUAUAUCUCAUUAAGGUAUCCAGUCAUGUGCAUGUAUUAAUGCCAGCCCUGUCUGAUUAUCACUUGUAUAGAACUCCAUGUACAGCUGGAUUGUAAGCAUGUAAUGAAAGGAAUGAAGUGUUAUACACUUGGAUGGAAGGCAUCUGAUAUAGCAAGACAUCGUGAAACUGAGUCGAAUGUUUGAUGAGAGUGAAUUACUGUCCAAGUGAAGAGUUACUUUGUUUUUAACAGCAAAAACUGUAUAUUAAAAGGUUUUACAUC
rnacentral:misc_RNA from 1 species